rnacentral:rRNA from 1 species
GAUGAACGCUGGCGGCGUGCUUAACACAUGCAAGUCGAACGAAGCACUUUAUUUGAUUUCCUUCGGGACUGAUUAUUUUGUGACUGAGUGGCGGACGGGUGAGUAACGCGUGGGUAACCUGCCUUGUACAGGGGGAUAACAGUUGGAAACGGCUGCUAAUACCGCAUAAGCGCACGGCAUCGCAUGAUGCAGUGUGAAAAACUCCGGUGGUAUAAGAUGGACCCGCGUUGGAUUAGCUAGUUGGUGAGGUAACGGCCCACCAAGGCGACGAUCCAUAGCCGACCUGAGAGGGUGACCGGCCACAUUGGGACUGAGACACGGCCCAAACUCCUACGGGAGGCAGCAGUGGGGAAUAUUGCACAAUGGGCGAAAGCCUGAUGCAGCGACGCCGCGUGAGCGAAGAAGUAUUUCGGUAUGUAAAGCUCUAUCAGCAGGGAAGAUAAUGACGGUACCUGACGAAGAAGCACUGGCUAAAUACGUG